GACAGAGGAUGCAAGCGUUAUCCGGAAUGAUUGGGCGUAAAGCGUCUGUAGGUGGCUUUUAAGUCUGCCGUCAAAUCCCAGGGCUUAACCCUGGACAGGCGGUGGAAACUACCAGGCUGGAGUACGGUAGGGGCAGAGGGAAUUUCCGGUGGAGCGGUGAAAUGCGUAGAGAUCGGAAAGAACACCAACGCGAAAGCACUCUGCUGGGCCGACACUGACACUGAGAGACGAAAGCUAGGGGAGCGAAUGGG
rnacentral:rRNA from 1 species